rnacentral:rRNA from 1 species
CCUACGGGUGGCAGUAGUGGGGAAUAUUGGGCAAUGGGCGCAAGCCUGACCCAGCAACGCCGCGUGAAGGAAGAAGGCUUUCGGGUUGUAAACUUCUUUUGUCAGGGACGAAGCAAGUGACGGUACCUGACGAAUAAGCCACGGCUAACUACGUGCCAGCAGCCGCGGUAAUACGUAGGUGGCAAGCGUUAUUCGGAUGUACUGGGUGUAAAGGGCGUGUAGGUGGGACCGCAAGUCAGAUGUGAAAACCACGGGCUCAACCUGUGCCCUGCAUUUGAAACUGGAGUUCUUGAGUACUGGAGAGGCAGACGGAAUUCCUGGUGUAGCGGUGAAAUGCGUAGAUAUUAGGAGGAACACCAGUGGCGAAGGCGGUCUGCUGGACAGCAACUGACGCUGAGGCGCGAAAGCGUGGGGAGCAAACAGGAUUAGAUACCCCAGUAGUC